rnacentral:misc_RNA from 1 species
AGCAGCCGCGGUAAUUCCAGCUCCAAUAGCGUAUAUUAAAGUUGUUGCAGUUAAAAGCUCGUAGUUGAAUUUCGGGAUUGGCGCAUCGGUCGUGCCUCACGGGGUAUGAACUGGUGCAGUCAAUUUCUCACCUUCUGGAGAACCGCGAUGUCCUUAAUUGGAUGCCGCGGGGAACCAGGACCUUUACUUUGAAAAAUUGAGUGUUUAAAGCAGGCUAUUUUUGCUUGAAUACAUUAGCAUGGAAUAAUAAAAUAGGACGGCAUGGUUCUAUUUUGUUGGUUUCUAGGACCACCGUAAUGAUUAAUAGGGAUAGUUGGGGGCAUUAGUAUUCAAUUGUCAGAGGUGAAAUUCUUGGAUUUAUUGAAGACUAACUACUGCGAAAGCAUUUGCCAAGGAUGUUUUCAUUAAUCAAGAACGAAAGUUAGGGGAUACGAAGACGAUCAGAUACCGUCGUAGUCUUAACCAUAAACUAUAGACCGACUAGGAAUCAAGACGAUUGUUAAUUUUUAAUGUACUUCGU